GACGAAGGGGGCUAGCGUUGUUCGGAAUUACUGGGCGUAAAGCGAGUGUAGGUGGUUGUCCAAGUUGGAUGUGAAAGCCUUGAGCUCAACUCAAGAAAUGCAUUCAGGACUGGGCGGCUAGAGGACCGGAGAGGAUAGUGGAAUUCCCAGUGUAGUGGUGAAAUACGUAGAGAUUGGGAAGAACACCGGUGGCGAAGGCGGCCUGCUGGGCAGUAGCUGACGCUGAUGCGCGACAGCGUGGGGAGCAAACAGG
rnacentral:rRNA from 1 species